CUCGCCGUGAGCAGCGCCUUCGGGCUCCUCCGUGGGUCGGGGGCCGAACUCUCCCCGCAGCUCGGUGCGGGUGGGGCCGGGGCGCUCCUCCUCCGCAGCGGAGAGGGAAAGAGAAAGCGAAAGGGAGAGAGCGGGCGAUGUCCCCGCAGCGGGACCGGGGCAGGCGGCACACGCAGCCCGCAGCGAGGGGAAGCAUGUGAUCAUCCCCAGGAGGUGCACAGGGAGAGGUCCCACCAGGACACCCCUCAUCCCAGGGGUGCAGCGGUUGAUUACGGGGUCCUGUGACAGCUCCACAUCCACAGUGACCAAGGACCCACGGGGACGGUGGUCCUGGAGGUGGCUGGUGACUGCAGACUGCUGGAAUGCUCCACGCCUAGAUGAGACGUGUGAGGGUGCUGGGGAUGCUGGUGGCUGUGGGUUUCCUACUGAGCCCGGAUCAUCGCAGCCAAGGCAGGCCAGGUUGGACGGGGCCUUGGGCAACCUGAGCUGGAUUUCAGCCUCCGGAUUUCAGCUCCCAAAAUGUGCCAAGCGUGAGCCUUCAGCAAGAGCUUCAUCCACCCAACACAUGCUGGACUAAUUCAUCCCAACACCUCUCUGCAGGAGUUUUGCCUUCACGGAAGCAGUCGGUGCAUUAGAAGUUGGUUUUGGAGUGCACUCACAGUGCCAACAGCCAUAGUGACCGUCCUGCUGAGCAGGGGGGGGUCUGCAAUGGGGAUGGAGCCCAAACCUUGGCCUUGGGACCCCGGCUGAGUUUCCCUGCUGCCAGCUGGGGGAUGGGGCAUCAGGAACAGGACACAUCUAGGAACAGGAGCAGGCGUUGCCUCGCUUAACCUGGGGCUUUAAAGGCCAGGCUCACCCCCAGCAAGGUCCUCAGUUAGCUGCCCAGCUCCUUAUAAGGUCAGAUUUGUCAUUUCAAAAUACAGUUUGCUGUAGAACAGAGAACAUUUAGAAGGGAUUUGGCGAGUAACAUCUGCUGCUGUACUGAAAAUUCAAAGUGUUAAAAACUUAAAAAAAAAAAGAGGUUUGGGUAAAAAUAAAAGGGCUUUGGAGAGGUCUCCUCAGCAGGAUCCUUUUCUCCCUGCGCACACAGCAGAUUUGUCCAUGUUUGUUUGUCACUGUCCUUCUGAACAUCAAACCAGAGCGCAGCAAAGGCUGGCUUUCGAGAGAUAAACCUGGAGGCGAUCAUAUUUCACACUGCAUAAAACGCACCUCGGGAA